UACCUGCAGCUCAAGUGGUGGCCGCUAUUAUUGGGCCUAAAACGUUCGUAGCCGGUUUGGUAAAUGCCUGGGUAAAUCGUGUAGCUUAACUAUACGAAUUCCGGGUAGACUGCCAAACUUGAGACCGGGAGAAGCUAGAGGUACUCCUGGGGUAGAGGUGAAAUUCUGUAAUCCUAGGGGGACCACCAGUGGCGAAGGCGUCUAGCUAGAACGGGUUUGACGGUGAGGAACGAAGCCCUGGGGCGCAAACCGGAUUAGAUACCCGGGUAGUCCAGGGUGUAAACGCUGCUUGCUUGAUGUUAGUUGGGCUCCGAGCCCAAUUAGUGUCGGAGAGAAGUUGUUAAGCAAGCUGCCUGGGAAGUACGAUCGCAAGAUUGAAACUUAAGGAAUUGGCGGGGGAGCACAGCAACGGGUGGAGCGUGCGGUUU
rnacentral:rRNA from 1 species